ACAGGGCCUUUUUUAAGGAUUUUCCCGUGGGGGGGCAUUUUUUGAAAAGGGACAUUUCUGUGAGAUAAUAUAUUACAGGGAGAUAGCAAUGGCUGAAGGCCACGUGUGCGCCGAACAUACCAUGCACGCAUGAAUGAGGGGGGUGUACUCCCCCAGAAAAUUUUUGAAAUUUGAAACACGGAAAUGCCAUUUCCUGCAUUCUGAGCAUCCAAAUGCGC